rnacentral:rRNA from 1 species
UGUGAGUGCAAGCGAAUCCCAAAAAUAACGUCUCAGUUCGGAUUGUAGUCUGCAACUCGACUACAUGAAGCUGGAAUCGCUAGUAAUCGCGAAUCAGAAUGUCGCGGUGAAUACGUUCCCGGGUCUUGUACACACCGCCCGUCAAGCCAUGGAAGCCGGGAGUGCCUGAAGUGCGUGAGCGCAAGCAGCGCCCUAAGGUAAAACCGGUGACUGGGGCUAAGUCGUAACAAGGUAAC